UACGAAGGGGGCUAGCGUUGUUCGGAAUUACUGGGCGUAAAGGGCGCGUAGGCGGUGUGUCAAGUCAGGCGUGAAAGCCCCGGGCUCAACCUGGGAACAGCGCUUGAGACUGGCACGCUCGAGUUCGGGAGAGGAUGGUGGAAUUCCCAGUGUAGAGGUGAAAUUCGUAGAUAUUGGGAAGAACACCGAUGGCGAAGGCAGCCAUCUGGACCGACACUGACGCUGAGGCGCGAAAGCGUGGGGAGCAAACCGG
rnacentral:rRNA from 1 species